CCCAUAAUGAAAAACAGUCCUUCAUAUUUAAAGAAGGUAACCAAAAUUAAUGGGAAACAGCUACGUUUAAUAAGACUCUCAGCUAUUACGUUAAAGAAUCUUAAUUAACUUGAGAAGUGCCACCUGCCUUUACAUCGUAUUUCAUGUCAAAAUGGCUGCUGCGACAAUAGCACGAUAUGCAGGGCGGAGACGUUAACUGUAUCACGUGACCUUCUUACGUCAGCUUGUGCCACUUCUCUAAACGUUUUACAGGAAAAACCUUAAAUAUAGACGGCAACGACUGGUUUAUGCAUUGACCUCCCUCCCUGCUAUUUGUGCCUGAGGGCGUUAAGGUUGACCUUGUCCUGAGAAAGCAUAGACUGGCUGCAUGACUCCUCUGGGGAACCGUGUCGCCUCUAACCUGGGCUUGGACGGACGGACGUACGCAAGUGGAAAACUCUGAGGAAAUGGACAUUUGGAGCAGGGAAACCAUGGAGUCAAUUUAGUCACUGUCUACUACCUUUUCGCAUGCAAGUACAAAGCCAGCCUCACACGUUGGUGUUGACAAGAAUUUCUCUCUGAGGAAUUUAGGGACAGAACAAUUCCUAGCAUCUGUUUCCUGCUCUCUUGCUCUGUGUGAAGGAAACAGAGUGUAAAUCACACCAAAUAUAAAUAGAGUCAGGAUUACAUUUUUCAGAAGCUAAAGUUGGUUGCUGUUCCACAGUGUUUUGGUUUUUCAGACACCAACAUUUGUACCUGCUGUAAGAAAUGAAAUAAUUAAAAACACUCAUGUAAAUUAAAUAUAAAAUGCGUUAAUUUGCCUCAAUGAUCAAAAGUGCAUCGAACCAAGAAUAAUAUUUUCUUCACAUCCUUUCACUCAGAAACUUUGAAUUCAAUGUAAUCUUUGUGUUACAUUUUAAAGCACAGAAGAGAGUAGCAGGAGCCUCCUCAGAUGUAAUUGGAUCAGAGUUCAAUGAACCUCGUCCACAGGAUGAAAUGCUGACAUGGUAGAAUAAUGUAUAAUCAUGCUAAUUGGUUGUGUUGAUGAAAAAUAACUAGUCACGUAGCUGAGUAGCUAGUGCAAGCUAAUGCUAGCCAUGUCUAACAUGCAUUCCUCCCCUCCCAAAAAAACCAUCAAAUAUUUUAAUACAGUGUUAUAAUUAUAAAUGUUCAUGGCUAAGUUAAUUUAUCAAUAAAAACACAUGUUAUUAUGUACAACUGAGUCAAAAUAUUAAAUAGGAUCAAUUUAACACAAAGGUUUCUUACUAAUUAAUUUAGGAAAUGUCUAUUUCUUUUCAGUGUAGUGCUGAAAGUGACUGCCACUAUAAAAAAUGGGUUUGUUUCGUCUUUGGUUCAGAACUAAGUAAUCUGGAUUUUGUUUACUCAUAUUUGUGUUCUCUUUCAGUCACCUUGUGCAUUUAUUUUUCCCCAAAACAGCCAUUCUGUGGCUGUUUUGGGAUCAUUUAAUUAGGCUCGUCUGCUAGUUGUCCCAGUAGUAUUCAUUCUCAUGGUUUGUUUUCAAUCAAUGUUGGAUUUGCUUGUUUCCGUACCUGUUGCUCUCCUGUUGCCUCAUAUACCUCCCAGUAUUUCAACCAUGCUGGUUUGUUGGACUUUCUGUUAUAAAAUUAAGCUUUUCAUUAAGUUCUACCUUCCUUCUGCGUGCGUUUCCAUCCCAGUCCAAAACAAAAUACAUAAAUUUUUGACAUUUGUUGGCCAUUUGUUGGUUAGCAUAACCUUGUAUGCUGUGUCAUACCUAUAAUCCAGUCCUGCUGUGUUAAAUACAGCCAAGGCUUUGUGAGUGCAUGUUUGACCUGGGACUUGGUCACCAAUAUAACUCAAGUUAGGUUGCUUUUUUUCUUUUCUUGGGGUUCUUCCUUUCUUAUUAACCAAAAUUCCUGAUUGUUUUUAUUUAGAUCUGCUACAAGGGUUUAAAUGAUACGUGUACUGUACACCAAUGGUGGAAAAA